rnacentral:rRNA from 1 species
AUUGAACGCUAGCGGGAUGCUUUACACAUGCAAGUCGAGCGCGCGGCGGGCGGGUGAGUAAUGUAUGGGGACUGCCCGCUAGAGGGGGGUAACUACUCGAGACGGUAUCUAAUACCGCAUACUCUAGGCUUACCCAUAUGGGAUUAGCUAGUAGGUGAGGUAAUGGCUCACCUAGGCGACGAUCCCUAGCUGGUCUGAGAGGAUGAGCAGCCACACUGGGACUGAGACACGGCCCAGACUCCUACGGAGGCAGCAGUGGGGAAGAUUGCACAAUGGGCGCAAGCCUGAUGCAGCCAUGCCGCGUGUAUGAAGAAGGCCCUAGGGUUGUAAAGUACUUUCAGUGGGGAGGCGUUACCGACAGAAGAAGCACCGGCUAACUCCGUGCCAGCAGCCGCGGUAAUUC